rnacentral:rRNA from 1 species
UACGUAGGGUGCGAGCGUUUGUCCGGAAUUACUGGGCGUAAAGGGCGCGUAGGUGGUUAAUUAAGUCAGAUGUGAAAUCCCCGGGCUUAACCUGGGAAUGGCAUAUGAAACUGAUUAGCUAGAGUUUGGGAGAGGGAAGUGGAAUUUCAGGUGUAGCGGUGAAAUGCGUAGAUAUCUGAAGGAACACCAGUGGCGAAGGCGACUUCCUGGCCCGAUACUGACACUGAGGCGCGAAAAGCGUGGGGAGCAAACAGG